CCUACAUGUCCGUAACGAGGGAGGAAUAACUAAAUUGUGGUGAUACAUUUCUGCUCAUGGCGUAGACCCAACUUCAUGGCGAAGGUCAGGACAGUUAGAUCACCUCUCUGCUUGUGCCUGAGUCCCUUCUCUAUGCUCGUCUCGUUUGCUGCAAGAUGUUGGGACGACCUGCUCCUGUAGUGUCUAUCCAUUGGUGACGAGGGCUCCUUCAUUGGGUUCUCGAUUCCCGAGUGGUCACUGCCCGGCUUCUCAGCAUUCAGAGGCAGCAGCAGCAGCAGUGGUCACUGCAGCCAUGGUGGGAUCUCAAUUCCAGCAGGCUCCAGUGUGGCCUCAAAGGUCCUAUCAACCUCUCCUGGGCAGUGGGAACCACCCAGUGACCGUUCCUGGAGGCCUUGACUGGAGCCCACAGCCUCACCCCUUUCCAGUGGUUUUAAACGUAUGCUAAUUGAAGGGAAUCUAAGGAACAUGGAAAAGCAUGGUGGACUCCGGGUUAGAGAGGAAAGACUGAAUAUUCACGGUUAACCUCCCGUGCCCCCCUGGAACCUCAGGAAAGCACACCAAGGUGGUGGUGGUUGAUUUGUACUAACAGAUGUGACGACAGAAGACAAACAGGAGAGGCCUGACUUAGCAGACCUGGGACCGUGCGGGGAGAAGACCCCCGCAGUGGGGGUCGGCGAGAAGGAACCUGUUUGCCCUGUGGAGCCUCUCCGAUCCCUCAAGUUUACAGCACCAAGCACAUCUGGAUUGGGGAUGAAGACGGGACUAAAAAGACGUGGACUGCCAGG
rnacentral:lncRNA from 1 species